AGAAUUUCGUAUUAUUUCUCUUGUUCACCAUAUUCCGUUUGAGUUAAUGUUUUCCUGUGUCAGAUAAAUAUAGCAUGUCGCAAAACAUAAGUUAGUUAUAUUCACAAUAUUUUACACAGUAGUUUUACGAAUGUCGAGGGCUACUGCUACUGAGGCAAUUGUAUAUGGCGUUUACAAAGUUCCUCCGCAGGAACUUCGUGAGCAUAUCGUUCCCGACUGUCACUGCUAUCCUCAUAUUCCUCGACUGGAAUCAUACUAGGAAGUGGAAGGCGCUGAAACAGAAUUAAAAUGGCCAUCUUCGGUAUCACCUCUCGUUACGUAUGGUUUGCGGUUCCUAUCUCCGGAUUCCUUGUUGGAAAGUACUUGGAUGAUCAAGAGACCUUGAGGAUGACCAACUUCAGAGACAAGUCGAAGCUGUACGGAGGCAUGGUGAAGGAAGGCGAAGCACCCUCUUGGCCUUGAAUUAUAAACUCUAAUUUAGUU